UGUGAUGUCAUCGAGUCUUUGAACGCACCUUGCGCUCCCUGGUAUUCCGGGGAGCAUGCCUGUUUGAGUGUCAUGGUAUUCUCAACCUUCAUAACUUUUGUUAUCGAAGGCUUGGAUUUGGAGGUUGUGCUGGCUUCUCGUCAAGUCGGCUCCUCUUAAAAGCAUUAGCGUGAGUGUAACGGAUCGCUUCGGUGUGAUAAUUAUCUGCGCCGUGGUCGUGAAGUAACAUAAGCUUGCGCUUCUAACCGUCCUUCAGCUGGACAAAUUUACUCUGACAUCUGACCUCAAAUCAGGUAGGACUACCCGCUGAACUUAA
rnacentral:rRNA from 1 species